rnacentral:rRNA from 1 species
GGUCAGGACGAACGCUGGCGGCGUGCCUAACACAUGCAAGUCGAGCGGGGACAUACGACGGAGCAGAAGUUUCGGAUGGAAGCGAAGAUGUAUGUUCUAGCGGCGGACGGGUGAGUAACGCGUGAGCAACCUGUCCUUCACAGGGGGAUAACACAGCGAAAGUUGUACUAAUACCGCAUAAGACCACAUUGGGACAUCCCAGAGGGGUCAAAGGAGCAAUCCGGUGAAGGGUGGGCUCGCGUCCGAUUAGAUAGUUGGUGAGGUAACGGCCCACCAAGUCGACGAUCGGUAGCCGACCUGAGAGGGUGAUCGGCCACAUUGGGACUGAGACACGGCCCAAACUCCUACGGGAGGCAGCAGUGGGGAAUAUUGGGCAAUGGGGGAAACCCUGACCCAGCAACGCCGCGUGAGGGAAGAAGGUUUUCGGAUCGUAAACCUCUGUCCUUGGUGAAGAGUGAGAGACGGUAGCCAAGGAGGAAGCCCCGGCUAACUACGUGCCAGCAGCAGC